CCGGCACGGGUGAGUAACACGUAUCCAACCUGCCGUCUACUCUUGGACAGCCUUCUGAAAGGAAGAUUAAUACAAGAUGGCAUCAUGAGUCCACAUGUUCACAUGAUUAAAGGUAUUCCGGUAGACGAUGGGGAUGCGUUCCAUUAGAUAGUAGGCGGGGUAACGGCCCACCUAGUCUUCGAUGGAUAGGGGUUCUGAGGGGAAGGUCCCCCACAUUGGAACUGAGACACGGUCCAA
rnacentral:rRNA from 1 species